rnacentral:rRNA from 1 species
GGGGAAUUUUCCGCAAUGGGCGAAAGCCUGACGGAGCAAGACCGCGUGGGGGAUGAAGGUUUGUGGAUUGUAAACCCCUUUUGAUUGGGAAGAAUACUGACGGUACCAAUCGAAUAAGCCUCGGCUAACUCCGUGCCAGCAGCCGCGGUAAUACGGAGGAGGCAAGCGUUAUCCGGAAUUAUUGGGCGUAAAGCGUCCGUAGGUGGUUUAGUAAGUCUGCUGUUAAAGCGCGGGGCUUAACUCCGNUAUCGGCAGUGGAAACUACUAGACUAGAGUGUGGUAGGGGUAGAGGGAAUUCCCAGUGUAGCGGUGAAAUGCGUAGAUAUUGGGAAGAACACCGGUGGCGAAAGCGCUCUACUGGGCCAUAACUGACACUGAUGGACGAAAGCUAGGGGAGCGAAAGGGAUUAGAUACCCCUGUAGUC